GGCUCGGUAGCUUAGUUUGUAAAGCACUCGUCUAGCGAAUAAGGGUCGUGAGUUCAAAUCUCACCUGAGCUG
rfam:Aedes albopictus isolate Foshan contig41278, whole genome shotgun sequence.